rnacentral:rRNA from 1 species
UACGGAGGGUGCAAGCGUUAUCCGGAUUCACUGGGUUUAAAGGGUGCGUAGGUGGGUUGUUAAGUCAGUGGUGAAAUCCCCGAGCUUAACUUGGGAACUGCCAUUGAUACUAUCAGUCUUGAAUACCGUGGAGGUCAGCGGAAUAUGUCAUGUAGCGGUGAAAUGCUUAGAUAUGACAUAGAACACCAAUUGCGAAGGCAGCUGGCUACACGAAUAUUGACACUGAGGCACGAAAGCGUGGGGAUCAAACAGG